rnacentral:rRNA from 1 species
CACGUAGGGCGCAAGCGUUGUCCGGAAUUACUGGGCGUAAAGCGUGCGCAGGCGGUUUGUUAAGUCCGUUGUGAAAGCCCCGAGCUCAACUUGGGAAUUGCAGUGGAUACUGGCAGGCUGGAGUACGGUAGAGGAAGGUGGAAUUCCCGGUGUAGCAGUGAAAUGCGUAGAUAUCGGGAGGAACACCAGUGGCGAAGGCGGCCUUCUGGACCAGUACUGACGCUCAUGCACGAAAGCGUGGGGAGCAAACAGG